rnacentral:rRNA from 2 species
UACGUAGGGUGCGAGCGUUAAUCGGAAUUACUGGGCGUAAAGCGUGCGCAGGCGGUUUUGUAAGACAGGCGUGAAAUCCCCGAGCUCAACUUGGGAAUGGCGCUUGUGACUGCAAGGCUAGAGUAUGUCAGAGGGGGGUAGAAUUCCACGUGUAGCAGUGAAAUGCGUAGAGAUGUGGAGGAAUACCGAUGGCGAAGGCAGCCCCCUGGGACGUCACUGACGCUCAUGCACGAAAGCGUGGGGAGCAAACAGG